UACGAACCGUACAAACGUUAUUCGGAAUCACUGGGCUUAAAGGGUGCGUAGGCGGCCAUGUAAGUGAGGUGUGAAAUCCCUCGGCUCAACCGAGGAACUGCGCUUCAUACUGCAUGGCUUGAGGGAGACAGGGGUAAGCGGAACUGAUGGUGGAGCGGUGAAAUGCGUUGAUAUCAUCAGGAACACCGGUGGCGAAAGCGGCAUCCUGGACCAACACUGACGCUGAGGAGCGAAAGCCAGGGGAGCAAACGGG
rnacentral:rRNA from 1 species